ACGAACGCUGGCGGCGUGCUUAACACAUGCAAGUCGUACGGUAAGGCCCUUUCGGGGGUACACGAGUGGCGACCGGGUGAGUAACACGUGAGUAACCUGCCCACAACUUUGGGAUAACGCUAGGAAACUGGUGCUAAUACUGGAUAUGUGCCCCUGCUGCAUGGUGGGGGUUGGAAAGCUCCGGCGGUUGUGGAUGGACUCGCGGCCUAUCAGCUUGUUGGUGGGGUAGUGGCCUACCAAGGCGGCGACGGGUAGCCGGCCUGAGAGGGUGACCGGCCACAUUGGGACUGAGAUACGGCCCAGACUCCUACGGGAGGCAGCAGUGGGGAAUAUUGCACAAUGGGCGCAAGCCUGAUGCAGCAACGCCGCGUGCGGGAUGACGGCCUUCGGGUUGUAAACCGCUUUCAGCAGGGACGAAGCUUUUUGUGACGGUACCUGCAGAAGAAGCACCGGCUAACUACGUG
rnacentral:rRNA from 1 species